rnacentral:rRNA from 1 species
UACGUAGGGGGCGAGCGUUGUCCGGAAUGAUUGGGCGUAAAGGGCGCGUAGGCGGCCUGAUAAGUCUGGAGUGAAAGUCCUGCUUUCAAGGUGGGAAUUGCUUUGGAUACUGUCGGGCUGGAGUACAGGAGAGGAAAGCGGAAUUACCAGUGUAGCGGUGAAAUGCGUAGAGAUUGGUAGGAACACCAGUGGCGAAGGCGGCUUUCUGGACUGAAACUGACGCUGAGGCGCGAAAGUGCGGGGAUCGAAC